GUCACCGUUUUGGUUCGACAUAAUGGUCGUUUAACAGUCGUUGAUCAGCAUGGUAAAUUUUCAUGUGCAACUAUCUCCAAGAACAUACAGAGAAGGACAACUCUUUUUUCAUAUGAGGAACCGCUAUGAAGAAGACAAAUGAUCUGCUUCUCUUCCGAUUCCAAUUUCGAGUAAAUUCCAGGAAAAUACAAGAGCUGGAGAUUGCAAAACACCCGACUCUAUGGGAGGCUAAUGGUGAUGUUUGUAAGAGUUUUUUAGCUUUAAUUUUAAAGUUAAUCAAAAUUCUGUUAAUAUAAAUUUAUCUAUUAAACUAUAUAUUAAAUCAAAUUUCUAUUUACUGAAAUAAAAUAUCAACUAAAUGGGUUGUAAGGACUCGAUGAUAAGUGUUUUGACACUCGAAGUUGAUUUUUAAUCUUAUAAAACGAUACUACAUUGUCCAGGUUC